UGGGGAAUAUUGCACAAUGGGCGAAAGCCUGAUGCAGCAACGCCGCGUGAGUGAUGAAGGCCUUCGGGUUGUAAAGCUCUGUCUUUUGGGACGAUAAUGACGGUACCAAAGGAGGAAGCCACGGCUAACUACGUGCCAGCAGCCGCGGUAAUACGUAGGUGGCAAGCGUUGUCCGGAUUUACUGGGCGUAAAGGAUGCGUAGGCGGAUUUUUAAGUGAGAUGUGAAAACCCUAAGCUUAACUUGGGGACUGCAUUUCAUACUGGAAAUCUAGAGUGCGGGAGAGGAGAAUGGAAUUCCUAGUGUAGCGGUGAAAUGCGUAGAGAUUAGGAAGAACACCAGUGGCGAAGGCGAUUCUCUGGACCGUAACUGACGCUGAGGCAUGAAAGCGUGGGUAGCAAACAGGAUUAGAUACCCUGGUAGUCCACGCCGUAAACGAUGAGUACUGGGUGUAGGAGGUAUCGACCCCUUCUGUGCCGCAGUUAACGCAAUAAGUACUCCGCCUGGGAAGUACGAUCGCAAGAUUAAAACUCAAAUGAAUUGACGGGGUCAUAGCUGUUUCCU
rnacentral:rRNA from 1 species